AGGGGACGAUGGGACCUUCCGGACCUCAAGGACAGAAGGGUGAACGAGGAAUGCCAGGGCCUGAAGGACCAACUGGUUUGAGGGGUAAAAAAGGCCAAGAUGGUGUGAAGGGGGAAAAGGGAGAACGUGGAGAGACCGGGCCAAAGGGUCUCCAGGGAAUUGCGGGUCUUCCUGGCCCUGUUGGACCAAAAGGAGACCAAG